rnacentral:rRNA from 1 species
GGAUUAGGCAUGCAAGUCGAACGAGAAAGGUUCCUUCGGGGACCUAGUACAGUGGCGAAAGGGGGAGUAAUGCAUGGAUGACUUACCCUCGAGACGGGGACAACAGCUCGAAAGGGCUGCUAAUACCCGAUAGUUCCUGUUGCCCAAGGGCUUCAGGAUAAAUGGUGCUUCCGCUCGAGGAGAGGUCCAUAGCCUAUCAGCUUGUUGGCGGGGUAAUGGCCUACCAAGGCUUUGACGGGUAGCCGGACUGAGAGGUUGACCGGCCACACUGGGACUGAGACACUGCCCAGACUCCUACGGGAGGCUGCAGUCGAGAAUCUUCCGCAAUGGGCGAAAGUCUGACGGAGCGACGCCGCGUGCAGGAUGAAGGCCCUCGGGUUGUAAACUGCUGUCACACGUUAAGAAACGCUGUGUUUAAUCACAGUUUGACAAAAGCAUCAGAGGAAGCCACGGCUAACUUCGUGCCAGCAGCCGCGGUAAGACGAAGGUGGCAAGCGUUGUUCGGAAUCACUGGGCAUAAAGCGCGCGUAGGUGGCUUAGCAAGCGGGGAAUGAAAUCCCAUGGCUCACCCAUGGAACUGCCGUUGAAACUGCCAAACUUGAGUACGGGAGGGGAGAGUGGAACUCUUGGUGUAGCGGUGAAAUGCGUAGAUAUCUGGAGGAACGCCGGAGGCGAAAGCGACUCUCUGGUCCGCAACUGACGCUGAGGUGCGAAAGCUAGGGGAGCGAACAGGAUUAGAUACCCUGGUAGUCCUAGCCGUAAACGAUGGGCACUAAGUAGGGGGGCUUCCUAUGUCUUCCCUGCCGAAGCAAAUGUAUUAAGUGCCCCGCCUGGGGAGUAUGGUCGCAAGGCUAAAACUCAAAGGAAUUGACGGGGGCUCACACAAGCGGUGGAGGAUGUGGUUUAAUUCGAAGCAACGCGCAGAACCUUACCCGGGUUUGAAAUGCAGGGAUUAGGCUCCUGAAAGGGAGUUGACGCCGCAAGGUGGAACUAUCACAGGUGUUGCAUGGCUGUCGUCAGCUCGUGUCGUGAGAUGUCGGGUUAAGUCCCUUAACGAGCGAAACCCUUGUCAUUAGUUGCCAGCGAGUAAAGUCGGGGACUCUAAUGAGACUGCCGUUGUUAAAACGGAGGAAGGUGGGGAUGACGUCAAGUCAUCAUGGCCUUUAUGUCCGGGGCUACACACGUCCCACAAUGGCCGAUACAAAGGGAAGCGAAACCGCAAGGUCAAGCAAAUCCCACAAAGUCGGUCCCAGUUCGGAUUGCGGGCUGCAAUUCGCCCGCAUGAAGUCGGAAUCGCUAGUAAUCGCGGAUCAGCUACGCCGCGGUGAAUAUGUUCCUGAGCCUUGUACACACCGCCCGUCAAGCCACGAAAGCUGAUAGUACCUGAAGUCGUGUACCUAACUCGAACCUUCGGGAACGGGAGGGAAGCGCCCACGGUAAAACUAGUGAUUGGGACUAAGUCGUAACAAGGUAGCCGUAGGGGAACCUGUGGCUGGAUCACCUCCUUU